CGGGAAGUGGCUCAGUCUGGUAGAGCACAGCGUUCGGGACGCUGGGGUCCGGGGUUCAAAUCCCCGCUUCCCGACCA
rnacentral:tRNA from 1 species